rnacentral:rRNA from 1 species
GGAAUAUUGGACAAUGGGCGAAAGCCUGAUCCAGCCAUGCCGCGUGUGUGAAGAAGGUCUUCGGAUUGUAAAGCACUUUAAGUUGGGAGGAAGGGCUGUUACCUAAUACGUGACAGUUUUGACGUUACCAACAGAAUAAGCACCGGCUAACUUCGUGCCAGCAGCCGCGGUAAUACGAAGGGUGCAAGCGUUAAUCGGAAUUACUGGGCGUAAAGCGCGCGUAGGCGGUUUGAUAAGUUGGAUGUGAAAGCCCCGGGCUCAACCUGGGAAUUGCAUCCAAAACUGUCUGACUAGAGUACGGUAGAGGGUGGUGGAAUUUCCUGUGUAGCGGUGAAAUGCGUAGAUAUAGGAAGGAACAUCAGUGGCGAAGGCGACCACCUGGACUGAUACUGACGCUGAGGUGCGAAAGCGUGGGGAGCAAA